GAUGAAGAACGUAGCGAAAUGCGAUACUUGGUGUGAAUUGCAGAAUCCCGUCAACCAUCGAGUCUUUGAACGCAAGUUGCGCCCGAAGCCAUUAGGCCGAGGGCACGCCUGCCUGGGCGUCACACGUCGUUGCCCCCCCAUCUACUCCUUCGGGAUUGCGGGGGGCGGAUGAUGGCCUCCCGUGCGCCUCGUCGCGCGGUUGGCAUAAAUGCCAAGUCCUCGGCGACGCACGCCACGACAAUCGGUGGUUGCGAAACCUCGGUUGCCCGUCGUGUGCGGUCGUCGCGCAUCGAGGGCUCGAAAAAAUUGCCGGGCUCCGGCUCGGCUUUCAACGCGACCCCAGGUCAGGCGGGGUUACCCGCUGAAUUUAAGCAUAUCAAUAAGCGGAGGA
rnacentral:misc_RNA from 1 species